rnacentral:sRNA from 1 species
GAGCCGAAGGGAUUGGGCUGGUUGGGCCAGUCGAGGCGGCCAGGCCCGCGCAUGUAGCUAGCAGGCGGUAAGGCUGUGCUAGCUUGGUACGACAGUGGUAGUCAGCCGAUCGCGGAGGAGGCCAGUGGCGAGGACGCGGACGCGGCGAAGGACAUCGCGAUAAGAUGACUGCGGCGGAGGCCCUGCGGCGACAUCGUCACCACGGCAACGGUGAGGACCUCCCCGUCUCGGCGUCCCACCUGACGUCUGCCUCAGCGUCGGCUUCCCAGUGCUAGUGCAAAGCUAGUUCGAGGAUAUUCAGGGGCUGUUUGGAUCGGAUUUUUAGUCAUGUCACGUCGGAUGUUUGACACUAAUUAGAGUGUUAAACAUAGACUAUUAACAAAAACUCAUUCCAUAACCCUGGACUAAUUCACGAGACAAAUCUAUUGAGAUUAAUUAAUCCAUAAUUAGCAUAUGUAAUACUACAGUAAAUAUGUGCUAAUUAUAGAUUAAUUAGGCUUAAAAAAUUUAUCACACGAAUUAGCUCUCAUUUAUGUAAUUAGUUUUGUAAGUAAUCUAUGUUUAAUACUCCAAAUUAAUGUCUAAAUAUUCAAUGUGAUAGAGACUAAAGUUUAGUCUAUGUAUCCAAACACCACCUCAGUCGUUUGUGGUCUAGAUUAUUAUCAGUUACUUUUCUUUAGAUAAUGUAUUAUCAGUUAAUAGCAGUUUAGUACCUGCAAUCAGUUAGUACUUUGUUUGUAGUCUAUGUUAUUGUGCAAGUUCAAUGGUAUGAUUUGUAAGCGAGAUGCUUGUUCAACCUCAAUUUUCAUGUUUCAGCUU